rnacentral:rRNA from 1 species
CGGGGGGAGCAAGCGUUGUUCGGAUUUACUGGGGCGUAAAGGGCGCGUAGGCGGCCACCGCAAGUCGACUGUGAAAUCUCUGGGCUUAACCCAGAACGGUCAGCCGAUACUGCGGGGCUAGAGUGCAGAAGGGGCAACUGGAAUUCUCGGUGUAGCGGUGAAAUGCGUAGAUAUCGAGAGGAACACCUGCGGCGAAGGCGGGUUGCUGGGCUGACACUGACGCUGAGGCGCGAAAGCUAGGGGAGCGAACGGGAUUAGAUACCCCGGUAGUCCUAGCCUUAAACGAUGAAUGCUUGGUGUCUGGGGUUUUAUAGUCCCCGGGUGCCGUCGCUAACGCUUUAAGCAUUCCGCCUGGGGAGUACGGUCGCAAGACUG